AUACGGAGGGUGCGAGCGUUAUCCGGAUUUAUUAGGUUUAAAGGGUGUGUAGACGGGAGCCUAAGUCAGUGGUGAAAUCUCACAGCUUAACUGUGAAACUGCCAUUGAAACUGGGUUUCUUGAGUAUAGUUGAGGUAGGCGGAAUGUGUAAUGUAGCGGUGAAAUGCAUAGAUAUUACACAGAACACCGAUUGCGAAGGCAGCUUACUAAGCUAUUACUGACGCUGAUGCACGAAAGCGUGGGUAGCGAACAGGAUUAGAUACCCGGGUAGUCC
rnacentral:rRNA from 1 species